GGCGUGCCUAAUACAUGCAAGUCGAGCGAGCGGAACUAACAGAUUUACUUCGGUAAUGACGUUAGGAAAGCGAGCGGCGGAUGGGUGAGUAACACGUGGGGAACCUGCCCCAUAGUCUGGGAUACCACUUGGAAACAGGUGCUAAUACCGGAUAAGAAAGCAGAUCGCAUGAUCAGCUUUUAAAAGGCGGCGUAAGCUGUCGCUAUGGGAUGGCCCCGCGGUGCAUUAGCUAGUUGGUAAGGUAAAGGCUUACCAAGGCGAUGAUGCAUAGCCGAGUUGAGAGACUGAUCGGCCACAUUGGGACUGAGACACGGCCCAAACUCCUACGGGAGGCAGCAGUAGGGAAUCUUCCACAAUGGACGCAAGUCUGAUGGAGCAACGCCGCGUGAGUGAAGAAGGUUUUCGGAUCGUAAAGCUCUGUUGUUGGUGAAGAAGGAUAGAGGUAGUAACUGGCCUUUAUUUUGACGGUAAUCAACCAGAAAGUCACGGCUAACUACGUGCC
rnacentral:rRNA from 1 species